CAUGCGAGCGUGUCCCCGUCUGCUCUGGAACACUGUGCAAAUAAGUUCAGCUUGUGUCAGAACAGGCAGGAGAGAAAAAGACAUCUCACAAAUCUAGUUACAGGCAAGUUCUACUUUGGAGAGGUAUAUUUGGGUCUUUUUUCUUGGAAUUUGUGUAGCUUACACUUUCCAAGAUUUUUGCCAGCACAACUGGUAAUGAAAGUUUGCUUUGCACUUGGGGAUGAUGGCUCUGCCUCGAUUUGUUUUUUCAUGUGGGAAAUACAGAAGAUCUGUCAGAAAAUCUGUGCCUUGAGGGGGAUGGAAGGUGGGACAGAUAGAGGAGGCAGAGUUUUCCUAACGAUUUGGAUUUUUUUCCUUAAGAAAUAAAAGGGAAAAUUCAAUCUUCAAGUCCAAAACUAAGAAAGAAUAUCUUUUCCCUUGGUAUCCUUUUAAAAUUGUCUUCUUUUUUUUUUAAUCCCCUGUUAGUUUGAAAAGCUGGUUUGUGCAUUUGCCUUAGUAUGAAUGAGAUGAAUCAUUAGAUUCUCAGAAGAGCUAAGCCCUGAACAAUAAAAGUAAACAUCAAGCAUUUUUAUUUCGAAACAGUAUUUGCAGUCACCAGAAAAUAUGUGUUUCAGGAAGACAAGCUUGUCAUGCAACUGUGGCCUUGAAUCCUAGAGAUUGAAAAUGCAACCAGAGAGGCAAGGCGGUAACCUGAUUUCAGUCUGGAGCCAGGAUCUCGGUUCAAGAGCGAGCAGGAGCGCACUCGGCUCUGCACACCACGGUCACGGUCACUCUCAGACGCCCCCCCUGGAGCCUGGCAUCUUCCCGAGGGCUUCUUGCUCUCCGGCUGCCUGGCCUGUCCUAUCGGGUUUCCUUUGCCUCUGCAAACUACACUCCUUUGUGUCAAGACUCAGCUCAAGUGCACCUCUCCUGUGAAGCCCUGUCGGCCUUCCCCGUUCGACAGGAGCCGUGCCCUCUGCCAGGCAGACUCCCCUUGCAGCUUUCCUACAUGCCAUCGUCUGUGUGUCUGCCUCCCUGCCAGCCUGUGUGCCCCUGGAAGACAGAGGCCAAUUUCAUUCAGCUUCAUGUCCCCAGGUUGGUUCUCUCCAGCACAUUCUAUGAGCCUGAGAAAUGUUUGAUAGAAGGAAGGAAAGUUUGACAAAUUUAUUUAGAUGGAGAUGUUACUGGGACUUAGUAUGUCCCCCCACACUGUGGGCUUUUGUUUUCUUUUGAAGUUCCAGGGACAAGGUAGAACCUAAGACAGAUGAUUGAGUCACCAAUGGUAGAAUUUCAGGACCCAUGGCAAGUGGGUGGGAGAGAGAUUUGAGCAGGUGAGAAUCCUUCACACGAUUCCCCAAAUCCCUGCACUGGCCCCCGAGGGCGCUGCCGGCCAGGCCAAGUGCAGCUCUGCAGAGGAGCCCUGCAGGGCACCUCGGGGCCUGUGGCGCCACCUGAAGUUGAGGUGGUUUUACAUGAAGGUGAUUCGAUCCUUCAGUAUUGAAAUCCCCUUGGUGCAGGCCCAAGACUAUAGUCUUUUUUAAACCUACAUAAAUUCAGGAUUCCACUGUAGUUUUGGUUCAAAGUUAAUAUACAGUGGGCCCUUGAACAAGGCAGGGGUUAGGGGUGCCGACCCCCGCAGGCAGUUGAAAAUCCGCAUGUAACUAAGUUGGCCUCCCCACGGCGGAUUCCGGACGCCAUGGAGAACUGUUUCAGCCGGGGGUGUUGAACUCGGGGAUGCAAAACCCAGGGAUAUGGACAGUUGGCUUAUAUUUAUUGAAAAAAUGUGUCUAAGUGGACCCGCACAAUUCAAACUUGUGAUGUUCAAGGAACAACUGUAUAGUCACAGAAUUUGGGGAUAUGUUAAAACGAAAAUAUUCCUUGUCUUUUUUUUUUUUCCUGCUCAUAUAUGUAAUAUAUCAAACAAGUUUAUACUAAAUAUACAGUUUAUAUCCUGCUUUUUAAAAAUUUCAUGUGAUAUUAUGAGCAUUUUCUUAUAUCAUUAAUUAUAUAACUCAUCCUGUGGGUGUCACAUAAAAAAUUUAACUGUUUUUUAUUUAUAUUUCUUGAUAUUUAGAUUUUCUCUACUAAAAAUUGCCCAUUGAUUAUAAAAAUAAACAGUAAAACUGAUCCAAAAUUAUUUAAUUACAUCUUUGCCUAUUUCCUGUAGGACAGAGUCCCAAAAUUAGAAUUACCAGUUCAAAGGGAGUAAACAUUUUAAAGAUUUUGUAUAUAUGCUGCCAAAUUUCUUCAGACUUACACUAAUUUUCAUUCCUGCCUAUAAUAUCGAAGGAUAGCUAUCUUAUAGCAUUUCCAGAAGUAUUAAGGCGUAUAAUUUUUUAACAAAGUCUGCCAGUUUUUGUUUGCAUUUCUUACACUGAGGGUAAUGAGCACAUAUUUUUUCUAUAUUUCUUGACCACUUAAUUUUUUUCUUUGAUACAUUUCUGUACUUUAGGGCAAUUUUUCUUCAUUGGGGUUGGGAUUGGAAUCUGAGGAAGAAAUGAUAAGAGCAGGUUGUCCCCCUUCUACUGCAUUUUUCAAAUUCUUAU